rnacentral:lncRNA from 1 species
AGGCAUACUGUCCGUACACUGAGCAAAACUGCAUUUUUGUUUCUAGGAUACAUUUUCAUAUCACCUAGAGAGAUAAUUUAUUCAUUGAAUGCUAGAUUUAAAAUAAUUUUCAGUUGAUACUAGAUUGAAAAAUUGAAAAAAAAUGCAGCAAAAUAAGGUUGUUAAGGGUUUUACAUGUAAGAUUAUAUUAUUUAUGGGUAUUAAAAAUCUACCAAGAUUUUACCUUAAAUAAGAAUUUCCCUUAAUCUUACUGAUUAAAAUUUCUUCCAUCCAAAUUUAUAAAAAUAAUCCUACAUUAGGGUAUUAAAUCUCUUUCAGAUAAAUUAUGCAUGAGAAAUCUGAUCAGAUACAUUAGGAACUGAGAAUGUUGAUUAUCCUAUAAUCUCUACAUAUUCAUUUCUAAUAAGGGGUAAUUCCAUUUAAUGUAGUGAUCCUUUUCCAGUUGGAGAUUUGAAUUUGAUAUCUCAGUGCUUAGUAGCCUUCCCAGAGUUUCAAUAUGAAGCUUUAAAAGAAUUCCUUCUGCUUCCUUUCCUGAUUUUUGAAACUUCUUUUACUUCUGCUACUGCCCAAUUACUCUGGGAUCUGGACUUGCACACCAAUGUCUGGUGAAAAGAAGAAAAAUGAAUUCAAAGGCUAUAUUAGAUUUUAACAUGUUCGAAAAAUAUUUAAAAAGGAAGAAGGCAAAAGAAGAAAGGGAGGGAGGAAAGGAGGAAAGGGAAAAGGACAGAAAAAGAAGAAAGAGGGAAAAUGAGUUUUGUAUACAUACGUUUUUUUAAAUUACAAUCACUUCUAUUUUCUAUAAGGCAUGGUAAUUUUCAUAAAUGUCCCCCUUCCCACAAUUAUUAUUAUUUUGUAAAAAUAAUAUUAUUUCUUAAAAUAAUAUUUUUACAGAAUAAUAGUGGGGAGGGGGGCAUUUAUGAAAAUUUCAAUUGGAUAUAAACUUCUGUAGUAG